GACGUAGGGUGCGAGCGUUGUCCGGAUUUAUUGGGCGUAAAGAGCUCGUAGGCGGCUCGUCGCGUCGGCUGUGAAAUCCUGCUGCUUAACGGUGGGCUUGCAGUCGAUACGGGCGGGCUAGAGUUCGGUAGGGGAGACUGGAAUUCCUGGUGUAGCGGUGAAAUGCGCAGAUAUCAGGAGGAACACCGGUGGCGAAGGCGGGUCUCUGGGCCGAUACUGACGCUGAGGAGCGAAAGCGUGGGGAGCGAACAGG
rnacentral:rRNA from 1 species